CUAGCCGCACACAUCGGACCCAAUGUCCUUUACCAACCAGCCAGCGUCAAUGAAAAGUCGACAGUAGCCCGCGUAGUAACAUUUACACUCUCCCUCGGAAUGAAGGGCAUGUCAUAUAGAUGGCUCCCUGUUCCUGCGCUGACGAUGGAAUCGUCUGCCCUCUACUCGGAAUGAUGUCUGCAGCGCCGAGCUAAUAGCUGUACUGCUCUAUGCCCCCACCUUCAGAGAUCUCUCGAGAGUGAGAGAGAGAGAGAGAGAGAGAGAGAGAGAGAGAGAGAGAGAGAGAGAGGCGAGAGAGGCAGAGAGAGUGGGAGAUAGCGUAGUGUGUGUGUGUGUGUGUGUGUGUGUGUGUGUGUGUGUGUAAUACAAAUAAGGAGCAGUUGGCAGUCUUAGUAGUAACUCAGGGUUUGUACUGUGAUUAGUACAGAAUUGAGAAAAAGGGAAACGAACAACUGACAGGCAAAUUCAGUCAACAAAUAGUGAAUCACUAGACUAACCCUUCAACAUGUCAAUGGAAUUGAUUCUUUCCAUCUCAUAUAUAUGUGCUUCGACAAGAACUCAGAGAAGAAAGAAUCAUAUCAUUUUCAAUGUAGCCAAUAUAACCAUCAAAAUAAGAUGUCAUAUCCCCAAAUAAAGAUUUUGCAAGAAAUUCUAAAUAACAGUUAUUGUAAGCUCCCUUAUACCCAUUCAACAGAAUAAAAAACGAUGAAACUGAAAGACUGACUGACCAACUGACCAAGACUGACCAAGACUGACUGAUGUCAAAGUGCUGUACAGAAACCCAGCCUAAAACCACAAACAGCAAGCAAUGCAGGUGUAGAAGCACGGUGGCUAGGAAAAACUCCCUAGAAAGGCCAAAACCUAGGAAGAAACCUAGAGAGGAACCAGGCUAUGAGGGGUGGCCAGUCCUCUUCUGGGUGUGCCGGGUGGAGAUUAUAACAGCACAUGGCCUAGAUGUUCAAAUGUUCAUAAAUGACCAGCAUUGUCAAAUAAUAAUAAUCAUAGUAGUUGUCGAGGGUGCAACAAGUCAGUAACACAAGAGUAAGUGUCAGUUGGCUUUUUCAUAGCCGAUCUUUGAGAGUAUCUCUACCGUUCCUGCUGUCUCUAGAGAGUUGAAAACAGCAGGUCUGGGACAGGUAGCACGUCCGGUGAAUAGUUCAGGGUUCCAGCAGGUCUGGGACAACAGGUCUGGGACAGGUAGCACGUCCGGUGAACAGGUCAGGGUUCCAUAGCUGCAGGCAGAACAGUUGGAACUGGAGCAGCAGCACGGCCAGGUAAACUGGGGACAGCAAGGAGUCAUCAAGC
rnacentral:lncRNA from 1 species